rnacentral:rRNA from 1 species
AGGACGAACGCUGGCGGCGUGCUUAACACAUGCAAGUCGAGCGGAAAGGCCCUUCGGGGUACUCGAGCGGCGAACGGGUGAGUAACACGUGAGUAAUCUGCCCCUAUGCUCUGGGAUAGCUCCGGGAAAACCGGGAUUAAUACCAGAUACGACCACUUUAGACAUCUGUUGUGGUGGAAAGAAUUUUGGCUAGGGAUGAGCUCGCGGCCUAUCAGCUUGUUGGUGAGGUAACGGCUCACCAAGGCGACGACGGGUAGCCGGCCUGAGAGGGCGACCGGCCACACUGGGACUGAGACACGGCCCAGACUCCUACGGGAGGCAGCAGUGGGGAAUAUUGCGCAAUGGGCGAAAGCCUGACGCAGCGACGCCGCGUGGGGGAUGAAGGCCUUCGGGUUGUAAACCCUUUCAGCAGGGACGAAGCGAAAGUGACGGUACCUGCAGAAGAAGCGCCGGCUAACUACGUGCCAGCAGCCGC